rnacentral:rRNA from 1 species
UGUGCGCGAGUCCGCAGGAUUAUGCGAAGCUUAAGGGCAGAAUGAAAGUGAAGGUCGACUUCUUUUCGGGUUGACCAGAGGUGGGAUCCUGGUGAACGUGGCGACUCAGCAAACCUUUGCCAGGCGCACCGCCGGCCCGUCUCGACUGCUUAUUGUCGGUGAGGCGGAGCAAGAGCGUACACGUUGGGACCCGAAAGAUGGUGAACUAUGCCUGGGCAGGACGAAGCCAGAGGAAACUCUGGUGGAGGUCCGUAGCGAUUCUGACGUGCAAAUCGAUCGUCAGACCUGGGUAUAGGGGCGAAAGACUAAUCGAACCAUCUAGUAGCUGGUUCCCUCCGAAGUUUCCCUCAGGAUAGCUGAAGCUCGGAGGCAAGCAGUCUCAUCCGGUAAAGCGAAUGAUUAGAGGCCUUGGGGUCGAAACGACCUCAACCUAUUCUCAAACUUUCAAUGGGUGAGAAGUCCGGAUUGCUUGACUGAAUCCYGGACGNAUGGAUGUGAGUUUCAAGUGGGCCACUUUUGGUAAGCAGAACUGGCGCUGUGGGAUGAACCAAACGCCGGGUUACGGUGCCCGAUGCAGACGCUCAUGAGACCCCAUGAAAGGUGUUGGUUGCU